rnacentral:rRNA from 1 species
GACGAACGCUGGCGGCGUGCCUAAUACAUGCAAGUAGAACGCUGACGCGAGGAGCUUGCUCUCCUUGGAUGAGUUGCGAACGGGUGAGUAACGCGUAGGUAACCUGCCUUGUAGCGGGGGAUAACUAUUGGAAACGAUAGCUAAUACCGCAUAACACUGGCUGACCCAUGUCAUUUAUUUGAAAGGGGCAAAUGCCCCACUACAAGAUGGACCUGCGUUGUAUUAGCUAGUAGGUGAGGUAACGGCUCACCUAGGCGACGAUACAUAGCCGACCUGAAAGGGUGAUCGGCCACACUGGGACUGAGACACGGCCCAGGCCCCUACGGGAGGCAGCAGGAGGGAAACAUCGGCAAUGGGGGGAAACCUGACCGAGGAACGACGCGGGAGGGAAGAAGGGUUUCGGAUCGUAAAGCUCUGUUGUAUGUGAAGAAAGAGUGGGAGAGUGGAAAGUUCACACUGUGACGGUAGCUUAACAGAAAGGGACGGCUAACUACGUG